UACUGGCAGGAUCAACCAGGUAGCAUUCCUCAUCGACGCCGAUCGCCGCAUGAGCCGAGCCGAGCGACUCGACCAAAACGGGAACGGACGUCGUUCGCAUGAAGCGUCGAACGCUCUUGUUUUCGGGACAAAUAGAGGUCGAGGACCUCGUACCGCACCGCUAUUCCACAUCCGAGAGAACCAACACAACGACAUGAGCCAACGAGAACGAUAGCCCUAGAGCGCACGAAUCGUGGAUCAGAUCGAGUGCUUCGGUGUCCAUCCCGUACUGCAUCCCUAAAGGGCACAGCACAAGGAGGAAAAGGGACAUCGGGACUAAACCAUGCCUUCUCGAUAGGUAUACAACACAGGAAACCGACGUCAGUCAAGGCAAUCAGCAACUUGAGCCAACAAUUGAAAAGGCAAGCGCGAGAUGCCGUCGCUGCCCCAGCAGGGAACCGACAUGCCCAUACAAGCCAAUCACCA
rnacentral:misc_RNA from 1 species